rnacentral:rRNA from 1 species
AGUGAACGCUGGCGGUAGGCCUAACACAUGCAAGUCGAACGGCAGCACAGUAAUAGCUUGCUCUUACGGGUGGCGAGUGGCGGACGGUUGAGGAAUACAUCGGAAUCUACUUUUUCGUGGGUGAUAACGUAGGGAAACUUACGCUAAUACCGCAUACGACCUACGGGUGAAAGCAUGGGAUCUUCGGACCUUGCGCGAUUGAAUGAGCCGAUGUCGGAUUAGCUAGUUGGCGGGGUAAAGGCCCACCAAGGCGACGAUCCGUAGCUGGUCUGAGAGGAUGAUCAGCCACACUGGAACUGAGACACGGUCCAGACUCCUACGGGAGGCAGCAGUGGGGAAUAUUGGACAAUGGGCGAAAGCCUGAUCCAGCCAUACCGCGUGGGUGAAGAAGGCCUUCGGAUUGUAAAGCCCUUUUGUUGGGAAAGAAAAGCAGCAGGUUAAUACCCCGCUGUUCUGACGGUACCCAAAGAAUAAGCACCGGCUAACUUCGUG